rnacentral:rRNA from 1 species
UCACCCGGUCCGGACACUGGAAGGAUUGACAGAUUAAAAGCUCUUUCUUGAUUCAGUGGGUGGUGGUGCAUGGCCGUUCUUAGUUGGUGGAGUGAUUUGUCUGGUUAAUUCCGAUAACGAACGAGACUCUAGCCUGCUAACUAGUUCGCCGGCAGCUCUUGUCGCGCGGCGCCGCUUCGGCGGCAAACUUCUUAGAGGGACAGGUGGCGUUUAGCCACACGAAGUAGAGCAAUAACAGGUCUGUGAUGCCCUUAGAUGUCCGGGGCCGCACGCGCGCUACACUGAAAGAAUCAACGUGGAUGCCCACCUGCUCCGAGAGGAGUGGGAAACCCGAUGAAUCUCUUUCGUGAUGGGGAUUGGGGCUUGUAAUUGUUCCCCAUGAACGAGGAAUUCCCAGUAAGCGUCAGUCAUCAGCUGGCGCUGAUUACGUCCCUGCCCUUUGUACACACCGCCCGUCGCUACUACCGAUUGAAUGGUUUAGUGAGACCCUCGGACUGGAGUCCGUCCGCCGCUUUCGGGUGGUGGAUGGGGAC